ACAUGCAGUCGAACGGUAGCACAGAGAGCUUGCUCUCGGGUGACGAGUGGCGGACGGGUGAGUAAUGUCUGGGAAACUGCCUGAUGGAGGGGGAUAACUACUGGAAACGGUAGCUAAUACCGCAUAACGUCGCAAGACCAAAGAGGGGGACCUUCGGGCCUCUUGCCAUCAGAUGUGCCCAGAUGGGAUUAGCUAGUAGGUGGGGUAACGGCUCACCUAGGCGACGAUCCCUAGCUGGUCUGAGAGGAUGACCAGCCACACUGGAACUGAGACACGGUCCAGACUCCUACGGGAGGCAGCAGUGGGGAAUAUUGCACAAUGGGCGCAAGCCUGAUGCAGCCAUGCCGCGUGUAUGAAGAAGGCCUUCGGGUUGUAAAGUACUUUCAGCGGGGAGGAAGGUGUUGUGGUUAAUAACCGCAGCAAUUGACGUUACCCGCAGAAGAAGCACCGGCUAACUCCGUGCCAGCAGCCGCGGUAAUACGGAGGGUGCAAGCGUUAAUCGGAAUUACUGGGCGUAAAGCGCACGCAGGCGGUCUGUCAAGUCGGAUGUGAAAUCCCCGGGCUCAACCUGGGAACUGCAUUCGAAACUGGCAGGCUAGAGUCUUGUAGAGGGGGGUAGAAUUCCAGGUGUAGCGGUGAAAUGCGUAGAGAUCUGGAGGAAUACCGGUGGCGAAGGCGGCCCCCUGGACAAAGACUGACGCUCAGGUGCGAAAGCGUGGGGAGCAAACAGGAUUAGAUAC
rnacentral:rRNA from 1 species